AGAGUUUGAUCAUGGCUCAGAUUGAACGCUGGCGGCAUGCCUUACACAUGCAAGUCGAACGCGAAAGCGGAGCAAUCCGCAAGUAGAGUGGCGAACGGGUGAGUAAUACAUCGGAACAUAUCCAGUAGCGGGGGAUAACCUGUCGAAAGAUAGGCUAAUACCGCAUACGAUCUACGGAUGAAAGCGGGGGACCGCAAGGCCUCGCACUAUUGGAGUGGCCGAUGUCGGAUUAGCUAGUUGGUGAGGUAAAAGCUUACCAAGGCGACGAUCCGUAGCUGGUCUGAGAGGACGAUCAGCCACACUGGAACUGAGACACGGUCCAGACUCCUACGGGAGGCAGCAGUGGGGAAUUUUGGACAAUGGGGGCAACCCUGAUCCAGCCAUGCCGCGUGAGUGAAGAAGGCCUUCGGGUUGUAAAGCUCUUUCGGCGGGGACGAAACGGUUCGUGACAACACCACGGACUAAUGACGGUACCCGCAUAAGAAGCACCGGCUAACUACGUGCCAGCAGCCGCGGUAAUACGUAGGGUGCAGGCGUUAAUCGGAAUUACUGGGCGUAAAGCGUGCGCAGGCGGUUUGUUAAGACAGGUGUGAAAUCCCCGGGCUUAACCUGGGAAUUGCGCUUGUAACUGGCAGGCUAGAGUGUGGCAGAGGGGGGUGGAAUUCCACGUGUAGCAGUGAAAUGCGUAGAUAUGUGGAGGAACACCGAUGGCGAAGGC
rnacentral:rRNA from 1 species